rnacentral:lncRNA from 1 species
UAACUUUUACAUUUUAGUAAAGUUGGUAAGGCACNUGCACUAUUUGUUAAAUCCUAUGCUGACGUUUUAAAAAAAAAAUAAUAAUCAAACAAUAAAGCAAUAAAACUAUAUAUAAUAUUUUUUUUCUGUAAGACUAGUAUACUUCAAAUUCAGACUCAAUAACAUGCAAUGUGGUAACGACUAAAUAGGAUGGAACUCUGCAUUAUCUACAUAUGGUUUAUGUUUGUNUGAUUGAAUGAGAUAAAUUGAUGACACCAUGCAUGAACUUUGUAGCUUAAGCAAUUUAAUAGCGAGCACAAUUUCAUCAUAAGCAAAGAUGACAUAUAUUUCAUAAAAGAAAAAAAAAAAAAACAAACUUCACCCUCUUUUCUCUUAAACCACCUUAUAUACUUAUUUCCUUGAUUAAGAAACUCUCCUCAAAAUCUGAGUACUUCACUACAGCCGAAGACNCAAAGCUUACAAUGACACAAUACUAUAACUCUUUCCACCUACCAUUGUUCCACCCUUUAAACUAAAUGGACAAACUCCUACAAGCAUAGAAGACACAUAAAAGAUUCAAAAGAAGAACACAAAAACCAAGAUUUCUGUUUCAAAUGUUACUAACUUUUGGCCAAUGUAAAAGAAAUGUACUUUUUUGCAUUAGAAACACGUCACAUACAUAAGGAGAUAUAGCAUUUCAUUUGCAAUGUAUUAUUUGCAUAAAAUGUUAUGACUUUGUGGAACUUCCAUCGAUGUUUCUAAUGCAAUUCCUAAAAGGCUCCUUUAAUUUCUCACAAUUCCGAAUGAAUUUUCCCAAUUUUACCUCUUCUAUUCCACGCUACGAUUUUGAGGAGCAUUUCUAGGGUGUUGCCAAUGACACCUAAGAAAGACUAUAGUUCAAUGGAGAAGUAAAGCACAAAAGAAAAGUCAAUGGGGGAUGAGGAUAAGGGUGGAAGAGAAGAGUUUUCAGGGNUUUUGCAAGAUCAUAGAUGUUUGAAGAAGGUCUUCAAGGAGUUCUUCAAGGGGGAGCUUUCUGGUUACAAUUGUCAUGAAGGAAGUGUUAUUAUCAGUAAGCGGGUGAGCAAGGAAAUAUGAGGAUCAGAGUAGCACAGCGGAUGAUGAUGGGAAUGCCAUUAUCAGUAAAGAAGUAUGCAUGAAGAGUUGUCUUAAUCAGGUGUUGGUAGUUUGGGUAGUGAUGUCUUUAUUUGGGAGCUAGAGGAAGAGAUGCGGGCGUCCUAUCCUCACUUCUUCCCUGGUAAGUGUAAUUUUCNGGGACGAAAAUUUUCUUGUUGGGGAGAAUGUGAGGUCUUGAAAAAUAAGCUUAGGGCCAUUGGGCCUUAUUAUUUGGGGCAGCCAGACCCAUAAGCUUAGAAUGCCUCAGCCAUAGAGGGAAUCCCUUCUUUUCCAAAAGUCAAAGUGUUCAUUUGCUACUUUUCCCUUCUCUCUAAACAGAAACCCUUUUCCCUAAAUAAUUGCUCUGCCUUCUCUCUAAGAUAUCCAAACACUGAACCGUUUACUUUUUAGUUUGAAGGUGCCUAAACGUUCACAGCGGCAAGGGCUUCAAUUUGAACCGAACAAUUUCCUGUUCCAACGGGUAAGUCCCCUUUUCCCCUUCUUUUUCGCUGUUCUAGAACCUAAGGCCUGCAACUUUGCUGGGUUCAUGCGCCUUGUAUGUUUUCCUUCCAUUCUC